GACGAACGCUGGCGGCGUGCUUAACACAUGCAAGUCGAACGGAAAGGCCCUGCUUUUGUGGGGUGCUCGAGUGGCGAACGGGUGAGUAACACGUGAGUAACCUGCCCUUGACUUUGGGACAACUUCAGGAAACUGGGGCUAAUACCGGAUAGGAGCUCCUGCUGCAUGGUGGGGGUUGGAAAGUUUCGGCGGUUGGGGAUGGACUCGCGGCUUAUCAGCUUGUUGGUGGGGUAGUGGCUUACCAAGGCUUUGACGGGUAGCCGGCCUGAGAGGGUGACCGGCCACAUUGGGACUGAGAUACGGCCCAGACUCCUACGGGAGGCAGCAGUGGGGAAUAUUGCACAAUGGGCGGAAGCCUGAUGCAGCAACGCCGCGUGCGGGAUGACGGCCUUCGGGUUGUAAACCGCUUUCGCCUGUGACGAAGCGUGAGUGACGGUAAUGGGUAAAGAAGCACCGGCUAACUACGUGCCAGCAGCCGCGGUGAUACGUAGGGUGCGAGCGUUGUCCGGAUUUAUUGGGCGUAAAGGGCUCGUAGGUGGUUGAUCGCGUCGGAAGUGUAAUCUUGGGGCUUAACCCUGAGCGUGCUUUCGAUACGGGUUGACUUGAGGAAGGUAGGGGAGAAUGGAAUUCCUGGUGGAGCGGUGGAAUGCGCAGAUAUCAGGAGGAACACCAGUGGCGAAGGCGGUUCUCUGGGCCUUUCCUGACGCUGAGGAGCGAAAGCGUGGGGAGCGAACAGGCUUAGAUACCCUGGUAGUCCACGCUGUAAACGGUGGGUACUAGGUGUGGGGUCCAUUCCACGGGUUCCGUGCCGUAGCUAACGCUUUAAGUACCCCGCCUGGGGAGUACGGCCGCAAGGCUAAAACUCAAAGGAAUUGACGGGGCCCCGCACAAGCGGCGGAGCAUGCGGAUUAAUUCGAUGCAACGCGUAGAACCUUACCUGGGUUUGACAUGGAUCGGGAGUGCUCAGAGAUGGGUGUGCCUCUUUUGGGGUCGGUUCACAGGUGGUGCAUGGCUGUCGUCAGCUCGUGUCGUGAGAUGUUGGGUUAAGUCCCGCAACGAGCGCAACCCUUGUUCACUGUUGCCAGCACGUUAUGGUGGGGACUCAGUGGAGACCGCCGGGGUCAACUCGGAGGAAGGUGGGGAUGACGUCAAGUCAUCAUGCCCCUUAUGUCCAGGGCUUCACGCAUGCUACAAUGGCUGGUACAGAGAGUGGCGAGCCUGUGAGGGUGAGCGAAUCUCGGAAAGCCGGUCUCAGUUCGGAUUGGGGUCUGCAACUCGACCUCAUGAAGUCGGAGUCGCUAGUAAUCGCAGAUCAGCAACGCUGCGGUGAAUACGUUCCCGGG
rnacentral:rRNA from 1 species